rnacentral:misc_RNA from 1 species
GAAACUCUUCACACGGACACACACGCACAGUAAGGAUCACGCAAGUGCAGCAUGUCUAGGGCAACGGGCAACAGCAACGCCGUUAUAGAGGGCGGUGCGUCUGUGCCGAAUAAGGAGGAGAACCUUCCGGUUCUCGCACGUGUGAUAAACCACCUUCUUACGCCGGGCUCGUCCCUGUCGCCUAUCGUGUGGAUCAGCUUUAAUCUAAUCAUGCUGGCCCUCUUCGGGCUCUGGCUCAUGUUUGUGUUCGCGAUGCACGAUAACAUUCACGUCUGGGCUUUUGGCUUCCUAGGGCUGGGCCUGACCGCCUCCACGAACUGGCUCAUGAAGAUCAUCUUCAGCUCUGGCUUGGACUUUGCCUCCCAGCAGCAGCGUGAGGCAGUGGAGAGGGAGAGCAAAGACAAAAAGAAUGAUUAGCACGUUUUGUUGUCCUUUGUCGGCUCGACCGGUAUUGCACACAGAUGAGUAAUGAAAUGGAUCACAUGAAUCUGCCGAGCUGCUCUGUGACACAUGUCCUGCUGGCUUUUGUUACUGUUCGGUGCCGCUCAUUGUUUCUCGGCGCUGAACGCACUUCGCCGCUCCCUGCGGUUGGGCAGGUGACAGCGCACAGUGAGCUGUUUUCCAUAAUGGCCGAAGAGAAGCCAGCGCGAACGCCGUUGGGCUGCGCACUUGAAGGAAGCUCCAAGGCGUGUGCAGCUGCUGAUGGCUUGCGCCACCUCUCCACCCACCCACCCACCCCCCUUUUCUCCUCUCUUGUUUUCGCUCGCAUUUGGCGUGCCCGCACGUCGUCUCCGUGGUGAGCACCUUUUGUGGUCGUCAAACGCGCGACGACGCCCCCAUUCAUUGCUGGUGUGUACGUGGGCUUCGCAUCACACCGAUGUUACGCGCACUCCCUGGAACAAG